UACAGAGGGGGCAAGCGUUAUUCGGAAUUAUUGGGCGUAAAGGGCGCGUAGGCGGUCAGGCAAGUCGGGUGUGAAAGCCCUGGGCUCAACCUGGGAAUUGCAUUCGAAACUAUCUGACUCGAGUAUGGGAGAGGGAAGCGGAAUUUCCGGUGUAGCGGUGAAAUGCGUAGAUAUCGGAAGGAACACCAGUGGCGAAGGCGGCUUCCUGGACUAAUACUGACGCUGAGGUGCGAAAGCGUGGGGAGCAAACAGG
rnacentral:rRNA from 1 species